GUAGUACUCCCUCCGUUCGGAAUUACUUGUCGUAGAAAUGGAUGUAUCUAGAUGUAUUUUAGUUCUAGAUACAUCCAUUUCUGAGACAAGUAAUUCCGGACGGAGGGAGUAGUUG
rnacentral:pre_miRNA from 1 species